rnacentral:lncRNA from 1 species
CGUCGCGGAGCCGGGCCGGGCCGUGCGGGUGCCGCUGUGUUUACACCGCCACAGCCGCCGCCGCCGCCGCCACAGCCACAGCCGCCGCCGCCGGGGCUCGGCGCUCCGCGGGCGCUCAGCAGCCAGUCGCCAUUUCCCGCCUACCGACCUGCUGCACCGCACCGAGGGACCCGGAUGGCAGCGGGGCCGCCGCGCACGCGCAGCCACGGCCGGGGGAGGAGGAGGAGGGGGCCGCCGGGGGCCGGCAGCGCCGGGCAGGCCGGGAAGGAGGGGAGCGGGCGGUGGGGACGGGGAUGGGGACGGGACCGGCUNNNNNNNNNNNNNNNNNNNNNNNNNNNNNNNNNNNNNNNNNNNNNNNNNNNNNNNNNNNNNNNNNNNNNNNNNNNNNNNNNNNNNNNNNNNNNNNNNNNNNNNNNNNNNNNNNNNNNNNNNNNNUGAGGGGAGCGGCCCCGGCUCGGCCCGGCCGGGCUCGGCUCGGUUCCCCCCGCCCCCCUCGGUCUCCGGGGUGCGGAGGUGGCCGCCUCGCUCCCCCCCCCGGAGCCUGCCCCGCAGCGGGAGAGCGGCCCGGGGGGGGCCCUGCCGCCCCCUGCCCUCCCCUCAGGCCCGGCCGUGCUGUGCGCUGCCGCCUGCCAGGGCUGAGGUGCUGCUCUCAGGCACCUCCCGAGCCAAACGUGGAGCUCGAUUUACGCUUUUUUUCGCUGUUUUCCACUUCUGGGCAGCCUCUCGUGAGGCGCUGGGGGGUCCCUGUGGGGAGCAGGGAGGUGGCGGGGCUGGGUUGGCCAUUUACGACCUUCUCAAUUCGUCUGUCCGAGUUUCCUUUCUGUCGGAGGUGGCUGUUAGCCGCCCAGCCUCGUAAACAGAACUCUUCGGUUCUCAGAGCAACGUGCUUGGUGACCUUAGGACGGCUUCUGGAGCUGGUGCUGGAAGCAGCACGCUUCCACAAAAGCAGCUUUUGUGGCACUCUGGCAGAGCAGCAGGCAGAGACCCGCAGGUUUGAAUGUAACUUCCAGCAAUUGCGUCCAGCACUUCUCAGCAAGACUCCGAAGUUGUAUGCUGCUGGAGUUCUUCUUCCGUGCGUCAGGACCCACACACAAGGAUCAGGGAAACAGAACCGUGCGCUUGACUUAAAUGAGAAGCAGCUACCAGGCUCUGCUUGCUCCUUUGUGCCUAAACGUCUGUGAUCCAAUCUGGCUGUCCAGGAGCAGCCCCAGACGCGGUGUUCUGACUGCUUACACUGCAGCUGACAGGAAUCAGGAUUCAUAUGGUACUCUGUGCCUGUUCAGAAACAAAGGCAAGCACAAAUUUAAACCAACUUAAACGCAUGUUUGAUCUAGCACAGAAUGUCUUUGAAGUGUCUACAGUCAAGAAACAGUCCUGUGGGGAUGCAAAUACACAUCUGCAAGUGGUCAAGCCCGAUUUGGGGAAGUUAAACUGUGGUGUCCAUACUAGCAACCCCAUCCUUGCUACGUGGGAAGACAUUGAUACAGGUUGAGGGAUUGAGAGCACGCUGGUUUCUCAGCAGGAAGUUCUUGCAUCAUUAUCAUAACCCUGUUUCUCUCUGUCUUGAAAAUUCCAGUGUAACCUACUAAAUAGGUAUAUAUGUCCCCACUUCCUUUUCUUCUAUUUUCUUUAAGAAACACGGUAUCCUCGGUGCUGGAGUCUUUAAAAAGCUCUAGCUAUUGCACCUCUGGGUGCCUCUGGCCCAACGUCCCCCAGCAGGGCCACCCCCAGCUGGUGCCCAGCCCACGUCCAGGUGCCCCCAGCACCUCUCAGCGCAGCCUGUGCCAGGGCUGCGGCCUCGCAGGCACAGAACUGCUUCUGGGGCCCAGGGGGAGCCUCCAGGGCUCCAGUUUUUGCCCAGGGCCCCUUGUUCUGGCCCUGGGCAGCACUGCCAAGAGCCUGACCUCACCACAUCCCCCCUGGGGUAUUUAUGAACAUUCAUAAGAUCCCCGUGAGCUUUCUGUAGUUUUUUUUUUUGUUUUGAUCCAGCUUUUUUCCAAUAUCCAGACAAACUUGUGGUACUUGACGUUUACAUAAAGCAAGCCUACGAUAGGAAGACACUCCACUGCACAUGUGCCUUUGUCGUGGGAGAAUGUAAGAACGCUUUGACAGGUGUUAAUCACUUCUGUUAAUUCACUGUUUGGAGGAAACACAAAGCUGAUAAUUCACACCAGGUUUUGAGCAAGUUUAAUAAUAGACUGCUGGCACUGUGUUACUGUUGCUGCUACCUGAGGAACAGGGCUUUAGGGAAAUGCGAUGUCAUGAAUUCAAGUAAAAUUUGAUCUUUUCCUGUGCCGUGGAAGUUGAAGCAAUCACUGUUCUGUGGUGUGUUUGGCUGCAUGCGAGCAGGGAAAUGCUUCAGUUGCUCUACUACAGGUGGGAAGCAGUGAGCUUGUGGCGGUGAAUUCUCCAAGUCCACGCGCACACACGCACACAUUUGUUCAGUCUGAAGGGAGCAGGACGUGGUUGUGUGUGCAGAGAAGUCGGGGGAGUGCCACGCUGCCCAGGCUGUGCCAUGAACUGAAG